AGAGUUUGAUCCUGGCUCAGAUUGAACGCUGGCGGCAUGCCUUACACAUGCGAGUCGAACGGCAGCACGGACUUCGGUCUGGUGGCGAGUGGCGAACGGGUGAGUAAUGUAUCGGAACGUACCUUUCAGUGGGGGAUAACGUAGCGAAAGUUACGCUAAUACCGCAUAUUCUGUGAGCAGGAAAGCAGGGGAUCGCAAGACCUUGCGCUGAUUGAGCGGCCGAUAUCAGAUUAGCUAGUUGGUGAGGUAAAGGCUCACCAAGGCGACGAUCUGUAGCGGGUCUGAGAGGAUGAUCCGCCACACUGGAACUGAGACACGGUCCAGACUCCUACGGGAGGCAGCAGUGGGGAAUUUUGGACAAUGGGGGCAACCCUGAUCCAGCCAUGCCGCGUGAGUGAAGAAGGCCUUCGGGUUGUAAAGCUCUUUCGGCCGGGAAGAAAUCGCAUGGGUUAAUACCCUGUGCGGAUGACGGUACCGGCAUAAGAAGCACCGGCUAACUACGUGCCAGCAGCCGCGGUAAUACGUAGGGUGCGAGCGUUAAUCGGAAUUACUGGGCGUAAAGCGUGCGCAGGCGGUUUUUUAAGACAGGCGUGAAAUCCCCGGGCUCAACCUGGGAACUGCGCUUGUGACUGGAAGGCUAGAGUAUGGCAGAGGGGGGUGGAAUUCCACGUGUAGCAGUGAAAUGCGUAGAGAUGUGGAGGAACACCAAUGGCGAAGGCAGCCCCCUGGGCCAAUACUGACGCUCAUGCACGAAAGCGUGGGUAGCAAACAGGAUUAGAUACCCUGGUAGUCCACGCCCUAAACGAUGUCAACUAGGUGUUGGGUGGGUAAAACCAUUUAGUACCGGAGCUAACGCGUGAAGUUGACCGCCUGGGGAGUACGGCCGCAAGGUUAAAACUCAAAGGAAUUGACGGGGACCCGCACAAGCGGUGGAUGAUGUGGAUUAAUUCGAUGCAACGCGAAAAACCUUACCUACCCUUGACAUGUCCAGGAGCCUGAAGAGAUUUGGGUGUGCCCGAAAGGGAACUGGAACACAGGUGCUGCAUGGCUGUCGUCAGCUCGUGUCGUGAGAUGUUGGGUUAAGUCCCGCAACGAGCGCAACCCUUGUCGUUAAUUGCCAUCAUUCAGUUGGGCACUUUAACGAGACUGCCGGUGACAAACCGGAGGAAGGUGGGAUGACGUCAAGUCCUCAUGGCCCUUAUGGGUAGGGCUUCACACGUCAUACAAUGGUCGGUACAAAGGGUUGCCAAGCCGCGAGGUGGAGCCAAUCCCAGAAAGCCGAUCGUAGUCCGGAUCGCAGGCUGCAACUCGCCUGCGUGAAGUCGGAAUCGCUAGUAAUCGUGGAUCAGCAUGUCACGGUGAAUACGUUCCCGGGUCUUGUACACACCGCCCGUCACACCAUGGGAGCGGGUU
rnacentral:rRNA from 1 species